UACGUAGGGUGCGAGCGUUAAUCGGAAUUACUGGGCGUAAAGCGUGCGUAGGCGGUUCGUUAAGUUCGUUGUGAAAGCCCCGGGCUCAACCUGGGAAUGGCAAUGGAAACUGGCGGGCUGGAGUAUGGCAGAGGGGGGUGGAAUUCCGCGUGUAGCAGUGAAAUGCGUAGAGAUGCGGCGGAACACCGAUGGCGAAGGCAGCCCCCUGGGCUGAGAUUGACGCUCAGGCACGAAAGCGUGGGGAGCAAACAGG
rnacentral:rRNA from 1 species